GACGAACGCUGGCGGCGUGCUUAACACAUGCAAGUCGAACGGAAAGGCCCUGCUUUUGUGGGGUGCUCGAGUGGCGAACGGGUGAGUAACACGUGAGUAACCUGCCCUUGACUUUGGGAUAACUUCAGGAAACUGGGGCUAAUACCGGAUAGGAGCUCCUGCUGCAUGGUGGGGGUUGGAAAGUUUCGGCGGUUGGGGAUGGACUCGCGGCUUAUCAGCUUGUUGGUGGGGUAGUGGCUUACCAAGGCUUUGACGGGUAGCCGGCCUGAGAGGGUGACCAGCCACAUUAGGACUGAGAUACGGCCCAGACUGCUACGGUAGGCAGCAGUGGGGAAUAUUGCACAAUGGGCGGAAGCCUGAUGCGGCAACGCCGCGUGCGGGAUGACGGCCUUCGGGUUGUAAACCGCUUUCGCCUGUGACGAAGCGUGAGUGACGGUAAUGGGUAAAGAAGCACCGGCUAACUACGUG
rnacentral:rRNA from 1 species